AACGAACGCUGGCGGCAGGCUUAACACAUGCAAGUCGAACGCCCCGCAAGGGGAGUGGCAGACGGGUGAGUAACGCGUGGGAACAUACCCUUUCCUGCGGAAUAGCCCUGGGAAACUGGAAUUAAUACCGAAUACGCCCUACGGGGGAAAGAUUUAUCGGGGAAGGAUUGGCCCGCGUUGGAUUAGCUAGUUGGUGGGGUAAAGGCCUACCAAGGCGACGAUCCAUAGCUGGUCUGAGAGGAUGAUCAGCCACAUCGGGACUGAGACACGGCCCAAACUCCUACGGGAGGCAGCAGUGGGGAAUAUUGGACAAUGGGCGCAAGCCUGAUCCAGCCAUGCCGCGUGAGUGAUGAAGGCCUUAGGGUUGUAAAGCUCUUUCACCGAUGAAGAUAAUGACGGUAGUCGGAGAAGAAGCCCCGGCUAACUUCGUGCCAGCCGCCGCCGUAAUAC
rnacentral:rRNA from 1 species